rnacentral:lncRNA from 1 species
CUCGUGAUCCGCCCACCUUGUCCUCCCAAAGUGCUGGGAUUACAGGCGUGAGCCACCGCGCCCAGCCGAACUUGAGUCUUCUUAAUCAAGCCUCAUGCCUGACUGGACACUGAAAAAGAGGUGAAGAGAUGAGGCGAUAGAACAAAAGAACAGAAAGAUAAUGAAGCUGAGACUAACAUAAUUAUGUAUGCAGCCACAAAUGGAGCACAAAGCAAUUACUGCUUGUGGGAAUUUGAGAGAUGCUCUUUGAAGAGGUGUGAGGGAAUCAGUAAUACUUGCAGUGACUUUUAAGGAGGUGGAGUGUGCUGAUGAAGAUGCCACAAAGAACUGAUGGGAAGUUAUUCCUCUCCCCAACUGCUAUUGUAUCCUUCCUGUAGUGCUGUCUCUGCUUUUUGCAUCUUGCCCAGUAUAUUAUGACACAAAUAAAAAUUCUCUUUUCAUCAUCUUGCAA